GUUUCAUAUAUUUAUUUUAGGUAGUAAAGGCUUUCAUUGUUCUGAACCCCGAUUACAAGUUGCAUGAUCAAGAGCAACUGAUAAAGGAGAUUCAGGAGCAUGUAAAAAAAACUACAGCACCUUACAAAUAUCCCAGAAAGGUAGAAUUUAUUGAAGAGCUGCCAAAGACUAUCAGUGGGAAGAUAAAAAGAAAUGAACUAAGAGAAAAAGAAUGGAAAACAAUUUAAAUUUAUUCCAUUAAUUAUAAUAUCUAUAAAAAUAGUAUCUAUAAAUCUAUAGAAACAAUAAGAUUAUGAAGAGGUGGUAAAAAUAUAUGCUAGUAUGCUUACAAACUGUUGAGUGAAGACAUUUUAUGGUUAUGACAUCAAAGGCUGAAUUUUGAAAUAUUCAGUAAAUUACUCUGCAUUCAGUAAAUGUUCCUAUAAGUAGGUAAAUAAAAUAGAACGUCAUCAAUUGCUGAGGAAUUUUUUAAUAUAUACCAUAGAAGCAGUUUCUGAACCAAAUCUUUGUUCUGUUAGGUUUCAACUUUUAGUUGAAUGAUUUCAGUAUGUUGAUAUACAAAUUAGAACCUUCAGGCCAGGGAGAUGGCUCAGUGGAAUAAGCACUUGCCUGGCAAGUGCAGGGGCCUGAGUUCAAUCCCCAGUUCUGCCAAAAAAAAAAAAAAAAAAAACAAAACACACACACACAAAAAUAUCUGGGAUGAAGAACCAACCUUCCAAACUUAAAAUUAAACAACUUGUAAGCAUUGUUUGUUUUUUUGAGACAAGGUUUGCUAUGUACUUCAGGCUGGCCUUGAAGUUACUAUAUAGCCUAGGUUGGCAUCCAACUCAUUAAUUGCAGCCUCCCAAGGGCUAGGAUUACAGGUGUGUCUUGACACAUGCAGCUAGUUUUUAGGGGGAAAAAUCAAUUAUAAUUCUCAAGUAACUGAAAAUAGACUGAGCUUUUCUCAGAUACAGGGUCUUACCACAUUGUUCAGGCUGGCUGUGAAUUCACCGUCUAGCACAGGCUGGCCUUGAGCUCAUGGUGAGCCACCUGCCAUACCCUCCCAAGUGCUGAGAUUAAAGGUGUGUGCAGCCACAUGGGGCCUAGACUAGGGAUUUUUAUUCAAAUACUUAACAGAUGGCUUAAAAUUUGUUUCAAGGUUUAAGUAUAAACGAUAGACGUCAUGUACUAUUGUUCCUUAUUGUAUUUAACCUAAUACAGUAUCAAAAUAUUUUAAUUGUGGUUUUCUAAGAAGGUAUGAUAAGCUGGGGACGCAGUACAGUGAUAGAGCACUUGUGUAGCAUUUGUGAGGCUCUGGGUUUCGCCCCUGGCUCUGAAAAGAGCGCAAGUAUGAAUAUGAAUGAUAAAUUAGCUCAUAUUAAUAUAUGAAACAAAUAAAAUUGGGCAAGAUUUUACCACAAUAUUAACGCUUGGGAAUUUAAGAAGCAGUUAGGAUUUAUGUAUGAAUAAGAUGAAUGGCAGACAACUGGUAAAUCAAAGUAAAAUAUUAUGAAAUUUAUUUUCUUUUCUUCAGUUGGUAUGUGUGUGUAUGUACAUAUACAACUCCUCCAAUAGAAUCCACAGAGCUCAGCUAUGCUAAGUCUCCAUAGCUUCUAGCCUCAGAGUAAUUUUUUUUUUUUUUUUUAAUCUUUCCUGUACUAAAAGUCACACUGAAGCCAGAAAUGAUGGUAAGCCUGCAAACCCAGCACUCUGGGGGGAUGAGGUAGAAGGAUCACAAGUUCAAGCACAACCUGGAAAACUCAGUGAGUUCAAGAGACUCUAACUAAAAAAAAAACAAAACAAAAACCAA